AAUAUAAAAGAUUUAUUAACUUGCUUGACUAGGUCUNAUAAAGUUCUGGAUAAAGCUGAUAAUGACAACUUUAUAUCCAUAGGUCUCGACCAAAUCUUGUGCCAGCAGUCGCGGUAAGACAAGGGAGACGAGUGUUAUUCAUCUUAAACAGGUAUAUUGGGUACCUAGACGGUGUGCAAAGGCUGAUAUAAGUACCUAUUACACUUGAGUUUGAUAUGUGAGAGGAAGAUGUCAGAAUUGUUGGUGUAUGGGAUGAAAUCCGUUGAUACUAAUAGGACUGAUAAUGGCGAAGGCAAACCUCUAUGUACAUGUACUUACUUAAGUAAAUAAGAACAACAGAAAAAAAUGUUUAAAAAACAAGUUCUUUCUUAAGUAAACUACUAAACUGACGUUGAGGGACGAAGGCUUAGAGAGUGAAGAGGAUUAGAUACCCCCGUAGCCUAGGCAGACAAUGAUGAGUGCCAUAGAUUGGCUUUUAGCUGAACUAUAAAUGAAAGUGGAAGCACUCCACCUCAAGAGUAAUGUGGCAACGCAGGAACUGAAAUCAUUAGACCGNNUCUGAAACCAGUAGUGAAGUAUGUUAUUUAAUUCGAUAAUCCGCGAAUAACCUUACCACAAUUUGAAUGACCUAAAUUAUUAUAUAGUUAAUUGAUGGUUAAUAUAUAUUAGUUAAUUUUAUUGAUUAAGAUAUAAUAACCAUACCUUUUAAUUAUAUUAUUUAGACCACAUGCGUUGCAUGGCUGUCUUCAGUUAAUGUCGUGAGAUUUGGUUAGGUCCAUUAAAUUAACGUAAACCCUUGUUUUAUUUAAUACAAUAAGGCAGCUCACCGCUUACAAUUGGAUGAU
rnacentral:rRNA from 1 species